rnacentral:rRNA from 1 species
UGCGUAGGCGGCUUUGUAAGUCAGGAGUGAAAGUUUGCGGCUCAACCGUAAAAUUGCUUCUGAUACUGCAUGGCUAGAAUUAGGAUGAGGUCAGCGGAAUGUGGCAUGUAGCGGUGAAAUGCAUAGAUAUGCCAUAGAACACCAAUUGCGAAGGCAGCUGACUAGACCUGGAUUGACGCUGAGGCACGAAAGCGUGGGGAGCGAACAGGAUUAGAUACCCUGGUAGUCCACGCCCUAAACGAUGCUUACUCGACGUAUGAAGCUAGACUUUGUGCGUCCAAGGGAAACCGUUAAGUAAGCCACCUGGGGAGUACGGCCGCAAGGUUGAA